AGGAUUGCCAUUGUGCGUGGACAAUAUAGGAGCAUCGUACCGCCUAGAGUUUGUACAGAAAUCGGAUAUGAGCACAAGUUUGGGUUUUCUGGAAGGGUGUACAAUAUGGUUUCAGCAAAUCUGUAUGCGCUGGUCUGACUGGAUGCUAGUGGCGUUUAGCUGGGAAAGACUAUUGGUAAUUAUUAGCCCAUUCUGAUUCAGACUGCUGCAACGGGUUUCCACGGCCUGGAUCAUAAUAGCGAUGCUAUUUCUCGUAGCGUUACCGAAUGGGGUAUUCUCAUUUGUCGCUUCCUACUUGUACUAUGCCGAUCUUAUAGACGAUCUCAGGCACCCUACAAGCGCGCCAGAUUGGUUUAAUCGAUGGUCAAAGAUGGACAGUGCGGCUACGGUCAUCGUACAACUAGUGACCUUUAUGCUUAUCUUCAUUCCCAGCGUUUGUCUGAUCGUGUUUCUCAGUCGUCAGCACCGCUCAACCAUCAGCCAAAUGCACCUGCAACAGACACAGUCGUCCCAGGACAGAUUAAAGCGAAACAACUCCCGCCCUGGCCACUCCGAUACGGGCAUUACCGUUAUCCUGCUUAGUAGUUCGGCAUUGUACCUUGUCACCAGAUUCCCCAUGGUCGUUGAGUUAUGCCUGUUUUACUUAGGCAUUUCACCUAAUGACUACACGGUUGAACUUGUUGCCGGACCUUUUGUCGAUAUUGCCAUGUACGCCGGUUAUUCAUUUACAUUUUUCACCUAUCUUAUCACCACCAGAAAUUUUCGUGAGAACUUUUUUAAACUGCUUGCCCCUCUGAUGUCAAACGACGGUGCCUAUGUCAACCAUACUGGAACGCUGAAAUUCUGUAUAUGUUUCGAAACCGGACUAUCAACGUCAGCGUCCGCCGCGGAAGCCAGGGCAACUGCAGAUCCUUCCGUGAAAACAAUCUUCAGCUGUCUAUUGUAGAAUACUGAUGAAAUUUUUCAAGCAUAUAUAUUAGCAAAUAUUAACAUUGCCAUGCACAAAUGUACAGAUAUAAUACCUCAUGUACUGUAUUAAAUUUUGCUUAACACUCGCACUCGUCUGUGGUUUAAUUUCACGGAGUUUUCUUGUGUGCCGCGCAGGCGUAGCUCAUGGUUUCGUCCCAAUCUGGCGUAGAACGGUCUGAUAUUCAUGCAAAAUGUUUUCUAAACGUUGUUUUUUUCUUUUCAGUAAGCACGCAAUUAGAAAGAGUUGCUUUUGAAUCGGUAAACUAAAUCUGAAAAGAAGUGAGGACUUUGCAGAAAAAUUCGCAGCAGAGCCAAAUCACGCUGCCACACUGGGAGGCUGCCAUUUGUUCGCCAACCGGAAGCGACUGGAAUUCGUAGUUUUAAAGUUUUCAGUGCAUUUAUUUUUACUAAAUGUUUCAGUAAGUGAAAAUAAAACAAAUUUUCUGAGGAAUUCAGGUUAGGUAGAAAGAAGUCGACUGCCAGUGUAACGUUCCAUGAAUUUCUGAAUGAUUAAAUGUGCCUCUCAGGCACAUGGACGAGGGCGAGUGUUAAGGAUUUAUUAUUGCUUAACAUAUUAAAUUUUAUUUUUACAAAGCUGCCCACUCGACAAACAUAUGCUUUGAUAGCUGCCGAUACCGUAUACACAUACGGCACUUGUGCUUUACGAAUUAGUAUAAUUUUUAUUUAUGGAAAUGUUGGCCACAAUGCAUGGUUACUCCAGCGAAGCAUUGAGUCAAAACCGUUCCAGCUGAAAUCUUUUAAGUUAAAAUUUAACAAACUUUAUGAAGUUAUUAUUAUUAUUACUUAAUGUGUUGUUGCUCUCUCAAGUUUAAUUAAAGAAAGGAAGAGAAUUUCCAUUACCGUAUUACUGCUGUACAUUAUUUUACGAAUAUACUCGUAUAGUGUACAUAUUGUAUCUGUACAUAGUUCAUACACAUACAACAGAGUCUCGGAGAGAGACGUUGGUUGGCUGGGCGGUGCAUUGAUCGAUACCGAUCUUCGCAUGUCAAGCAUUUUUCGUGAAUAGGCUGGCUCAUGCAGCCAUUCCCACACACAGAAGCAUGCCGCCUCGACAUGCCUGUGCGGGAAGACACGAAGGAAACGCCAAGACGUUUAUCAUCUGGGCAAGGAGAGAAUGCACAGCUUUUUACUUUACAUGUUAAAUCAUACACGAUACACUAGUCUUUUACUUUUCGCCCUUAUUUAGUUUAAUAAGUCUACAAAUCAUUUACUACUGAUUCAGUGUUUUUAAAAUAUUUUUCUACUUGGCAGUCGAAAACGUAUCCUUGUUUACGUAUAUAAAUCGCGAAUAGUCUGGAACUGGUUGAGAAAAAAUUUUCUUUUAUUUGGAUUCUUGGAAGUUGGAACCAUGCAGCGGCUGAAUGCUGUCGACCAGACUGUUCGUGCCCGUAGUUCAAAGUUUUCUAGUUUUCCUUAUACAUAUCAACGCCAAAAACAUCCGCAGCCUUUUCUGUUGUAUUUCGGAUGUGCGCUAGCGGUGUUCGGAAUAUGUACACUGGCCGCUUUCCAUGUACAGUUUCCUGAUACGGAGAUCUUGCCCACGAUAACAACAACGUGUUUAUUAUGUGUGCUAUCGGGGAUCAUCAGCAUGUGCGCAGCCUGCUGUAUCGGCGCUGGCUGUCACCUCGUGGAGUGCGCUAUCGAUCCACGACACUGUCGAAAAAUGAUCGUUCUCACCUGGUAUCGCAUCUGUCUAGCGUGUUUCGCUCUGGAGAUUUGUGCGUCCAUUGCCUUAAUUGUCCAUUCCACCGUGGUAGCGGUGUACCGGCAGUGGCAAUGUUUCACGGAGAUGGCGUGUCUUCUUCUGGGAACAACAUGCCUCGUGAUAUUUUUCCUAAUGACAUGUGCGGUGAUCUUUUCUAUGCGGGAUUGUACAAAGAAGCAUAAAAGAGAGCGUGAGGCGAAUAUUUCAUAUCCGGCACAAGGAGACAUCAGCACGCCGAUGGCGGGUGUGCAAAGUGAACAAGAAGACGCCGUUUCUCUGCCACCGGACUAUUGGGAAGUGGUCGAUCCAGUCACGCAGCUGCCGACGUACCAGAGUGCCAUGGACACAGUGCAUCCAGAGCAGCGACUACUGGAUACGCAUGUUUAGCCUGGCCAUGACCUAUUAGACUGCUGACAGACCAAAUAAUACAUUCGUACAAACAGAAGGGAAAUGUAUGGCGGGCGUUCGCUGAAAUUAAGUUAUCUGCGUUCUUCUUUAACAGUAUCGACAUUAAUCAGUAUUAUGUACAGUGCUAUAGAAAUAUCAGAUCUUACGGUUGUCUAGAGAUAGUAUUGUAUUGUUGUCUCGAGUUGACCGCACUCGAGUAUUAUAUUGUUGUCCAAGAAUUAUUAUACGAGCACCUAAAAAUGUGUAUGGCACUCAGAUUUUAUUAUUUCACAAAUCCGCAACACUUUAUGGCGGUUACAGUACGUAUUUCUAUGCCGGCUGAUACAGAGUCGUUGUCAGUGAAGAAAUAAGUUGCAAGUUCAAACGUUUUACGUUUGUUUGGAAGUAUAACAUAUACCGCGGUAUGCGACAUUGGCCAUGUACCUGUAGAUGCUAGAGUGAUGCAGUUCACUAAUGCGGUCAGUUUCUGUUUUCCAAUCCGCAUUUUUAAGGAAUCUUCUAUAACCGCUUGGCAAUGACAAACGGAAGCGCUGUUUUGUCUUUAACUCUGAAUUUCCUCAUUGCUCAGAUUCUUCGUGUCGACGCAUCGGUAUUCGCCCACCGCUACUUCAGUCCGUUUAAUCAUGACCUUAUCUCCAAGAUGCCAAACACGGUACCGGAUAAUACGUUGUCAUUCGGCGCACCGCUAAAAUCACCGCAACGUAUAGUACAAUAUGCAACUGAGCUGACCACGACCAGCAAACCGCCUAGUAAGCCGGCCGCUACUACGAGGUCAUCCAACAAAAAGCAAUCAGGAUUGUCGGCUUUGGGACGUAGUUUGAUCGGGACGCUGGAUCCGAACAUAUGGGAUCCGGAGCCGCUGUACGCCGAAGAUAGCCGGGGAAAUCGUCACAGUUACGGGCAUUACCGCGCUCAGCAGCUGCUGCAUCCUCAUGAUACAUUUCGCAACAGGAAUCCGCGUGUUGGUUGAAACCGGGUUACCGUAGUCACCGAUAUAAUUAUGUUACUUCUUGUCAAAGUUUUGAUGUUAUUUCACGUAUAAGUUCGGUCCGCGUUGAGUUAACGUGUAAUGCAUAUGCAAAGAAAACCGAAGCAUGAUAAACUUUGUACGAUUAUCUUACUAUUUUGCCUGGAUAGUGGUGUUUGUAACUUCGUACUGACGCUUACUGCUGCCUUUCUAACCCAUAUUUU